UCACUACAUUUUUAGUCGUAACUCUCGUGGAUCUACUCGCACCAAGCGGUGCGUAUACUCUUCCUGUUGGUCUUUCCAAGGGCGACAUUCAUACAACAUUACAACAAUUUAAAAUCAUUUUUUCUUGAGUUAUUGCCGAAAAACUACAUUUUGUUGUA